AAAUUCUUCUCUCUAAGCAAGAGGCCCUGGAGACCCUGAUACAGGGCCUUUAAAUUAACAUGCUAAGGUGAAAGAUAUUGACAUCAAAUCUGCCAAAAUAUAUCAAAAUUCAGGUGAACAUAAGGGCCAUGGGUCUCUUGUUUAAAGUGGUUACCAUGGUUACCAUAGGUAUGAAAAGCAGAGAAAAGUGUAGUUAUCCUUCACAGCUGUAUUACAAUUGCAAAUUUUGUAUAGAUAUAUACUUUGGUAUAGGUAAUAUGUCCCAGCUAGAAAUACAGUCUCCCACUCAAAAGAAGUCCCCAAAUUAAAUUGUACAAAUGAACUUUUCUAGACUUCCAUAAUUUUCAUAUAUGCACUUCCAGUGAAACCCUGUGCUUCUACGUACUUCCUUUGUCAAACACAAGUGUGCUUCCUUGGAAGUCCCAGACUACAUAUGCGCUUCUUUAGUGAACCCAUGGAUACUUCAAAAGCACUUCUUUUAUAUAGAGAGCCCAUGGGGACUUCAAAGCGCUUCUUGUAGUGAACUUAUAACUUCUUGUAAAGUUAGGGACUUCAGGUGUACUUCAUACUUCAAUGACACUUUUAAAACUUAACUGUAUUUCAAAGACCUCAUUUUAUAUUCAAAAAGUUGUGCUGGUAUUGGCCAGACUUCAAAGACACUUCUAUAACUAAUUUGUGUUUCAAAGUGGGGCUUCGAAUAUACUUCAAAAACUUGUACGAAUUGUUGAGUAUUGAAUUAAGUUUUUUAAUCUAAAUCUUAGAAUGUUACAAUUUGAGAUUUAUUUUAUCAAGGUUUAAAUGACAUAAGCAGGUAAAUAAGUGUGAAGGAUUUUUACAGAUAAAAAGGGGCCACAGAGGUUAUGGUGUAUGGACACUUCACUAGCCCUCCACCUCUGGGUCACGAGUGCUAAACUCACAUGGGGCAGUUGCCUGGUACUGACUGUAGACCGGUGGUUUUUCUCCAGAUAUUUCUUUGGUAAACUGGAGGUGUACGAGGAGGAUGGGACGAGUAUCAUCAUCAGACAUUCCUGAAGUUUAGACAAAGGGCCGACCAGCCUUCCUAAAGCAACGGCUCAUAGCUGUACCAACCAACACGGAGGAAGAGAUCACGAAUCAUGAGGAAAUGGUACCAAACUUAUCUAGACAUGAACGAGAGUAAGAAAGUAAGAAUACGCAAAUGGAAGGAAAAAGAGCAGGUUAUCAGAAAGAAUUGAGGAAAGGGAAGGAGGAUUCUGAGAAGAAAGCUGCUGGUUAACCACACAGUCACACAAAGGUGAUAGCCACAGACUUGAAACAACAGCAUAAAAAGGUCAGCAUGCCUGUAAAACUGGAGGGGUACAAAUGUAAACACCUGGAACAUGGUCAUAGACUUCUACAAGUGAGAUAAUUAGGUCACAGAGUUCUACAGGUGAGAUAAUUAGGUCAUAGACUUCUACAGGUGAGAUAAUUAGGUCAUAGACUUCUACAGGUGAGAUAAUUAGGUCACAGACUUCUACAGGUGAGAUAAGUAGGUUGCAGACAUAUACAGGUGAGAUAAGUAGGUUGCAGACAUAUACAGGUGAGAUAAUUAGGUCACAGACUUCUACAGGUGAUAUAAAUAGGUCACAGACUUCUACAGGUGAGAUAAACAGGUUGCAGACUUCUACAGGUGAGAUAAGUAGGUCACAGAUUUCUACAGGUGAGAAAAUUACGUCACAGUCUUCUACAGGUGUUCAACUACUACAGAUUUAAAAAUUAGAUCAGUCGAGAUAAAUAAUUCAUCAUUUUUACCAGUGGAAUAUCAGAAUUUCUCAACUUGAUAAAAACUUAUAUUAAUCUUGCUUAUAUCAUCACUUUUAUCAUCAUUAAUGAUGGUGUAAGAAUCUUUAGUCAUUUCACACACAAUAUAGUUCAAACCAUAUCUAACUGCAACAGAAUUAAUUUCCUGAUUUUUGAAAUGGUGGGUAACCUAUGAUAUAAUGUGAAACCUGACUUUACCGACCACUGACUUUAACAACAUCCUAUAACAACUGACCAUUAUUACCAGAACGAGGAACUAUAUAAAGGGAUACUUUAAAAACAAAUUACAUACAUGUGAUGUUAAUUUGUUAUUUAAUUCCUGAUAAAUUUUCGAUUUGUUUUGACAUGAUAACUAAUCACUUGUAAUGUAUCUUAAAUUGUAAACACAAUUGGUGAUUAGCCAGAUACUAAGUUGUUCUACAAUGUUGGUUUCCCUAUUUUAAAUACCCAGCAUCAUAAGUGACAAUGAUUUCAAUAAUCUAUAUCAUGUUGUAAUUUUGUGGUUCCACUGUCACAGGUCACUAUACAUAAUUUUUUGGGUGAGUCUGUAGGCACAAUGCUGUACCGACUACUCCUCCUAAACUACUGAGGGAAUUUCAAUGAAAUAUUAUGGCAAUAACCCUUAUACAUUGUAGAUGUGCGUAAUCUAUAUCAUGUUGUAAUUUUGUGGUUACCAUGGUAACCAUGUCGCUAUACUUUGUUUUUUGGGUGAGGGGGAAUUUUGUCCAGUCAACUCCUCAUAAACCUGUGAACUGCUUCAAUUCAAACUAUACAGGAGUGAUGGGACCAUGUGUAAAUGUGCAUGUAUGAUAUUUCUCUACAGAAUUUUUGGUUUCUAUGGUUACCAGGUUUCAAUACCCAUAUUCUUGUGGAAAACUUUAAUGUCAAGACAACUCGGACAACUCCUGUAUAGCUAUCAAUCAAACUCAAACUUCAUACAGUGCUUCCUUACCAAAAGUGCUUGCUUGGGAUUGCUUUUCGGAUUCAAAGGUCAAAGGUCAAGGUCAGUGUUUUUAUUAAUAGAAAAUUGGAUCAGAGUCUUGAAGGAGACAGACAGGAAGGGAAGUCUUCUACAGAAACUUACAGACUGUGAGAGAAAUCUACUGGACCAGAGUCUUGAAGGGGACAGACAGAGGAAGGAAAGUCUUCUACAGAAACUUACAGACUGAGAGAAAUCUACUGGACCAGAGCCUUGAAGGGGACAAGACAACUCAACAGACAUCUAGUUUUGACAGUGAGAAACACCUCAACUGUACUGUAGAGAAUGCCGAGACAUUAAGAAUAGUGGAGAAGGAAAGGGGUAUGGAUUUGCUGUCCAAUGAUCUCAGGCUGUUACUAGUGGAAGCUACAUGAGUGGUGUCCAUGAAGUGAUGAGGCUGUGUUGAUGAAGCCUCACUCUGAUACAAGUCCUUGGCGGCUUUAUAGGUUUUGGUGUCCGGGUCAGUUACAAGCUUAUCCACCUCUAGGCAAUGUCGAACAGGAUUUCCUUACUCCACGUUUUUUGAUGGAGGAAUCAAGGGGUCUUUAAAGAUUUCCUUACCUGGGUGUCUGUUUGGUGGUUUCCCCGUCUUGUACACAGAAAUCUGUACACAGAGCUGUCAUUUACAGAAUUUCUCAGCAGAUACAUGUAGCUGUCCGAGGAUAAAGCUGUGUCCCAGACUAAUCGGUUGGCAGAUAUCGAUGAUAUAUACUUUGCUUCUGACGUAAGAAUUGAAAACUUAUUUUCCUGUAUGUGCCGAGUGUAGUCCUAACCUCACAGAGAUGUUAAUAGAGUAUGUGUCAUGGGGACAAGUUUGUGCAUUAAAAGGAAUUAGGGAGGGCAGUAAUGUAAAAUGUGUUACGACUAUUGGUCAAAGGAGAGGGAAUAUGAUAAAGGGGAUUUUGUGUAGAUGUUGUAUCCUCCUACUGUCAGUAAUGAAUUAAGACAGGGUUGGACAGGUCCUUAAAUAAAGUCUUACAGACUGAUAUCAAUUAUCAAAUCCAGAAGUCACCUUUUUCUAAGUCAAUCAUGGUUUAUACAGAUCAUCUGAAGCCUUACAUGGGUAGAGAAACAUCACAGGCUUGGGAGGAUAUAGAUUGAGAUGCUGCAAAUGAGAAUGGCAUCGAAUUGGCACGAAACUGAUACUUGGGUACAUUUGUGUACACUUCAGUUCAAGGGAGACAACUCCUCAGCAAAUAAAACCUCUAGUCAGAUACCUAAAAAAAUCUAGGAAGAAACUCAGAUAAUGUGAAUAUAUAUAUAAAAUAUACAGUAUAUUGCAGAGAAAUAUUACAAAGUUAUGCUGAUAUAUAUGUUGGUAAAGGUAGAUUAAACAUACUGCUGUCAUUAAUUGUCUUCACUUUGCAGUUGAGGUAUAAUUGUAAUUGUAGGCACUACUCAAAUACAAAUUUAAUUGAGACAUUUUUAGCUCACCGGUUACGAGUGACAUACAAUUUCAAAAUGACAUGCUUAUACAUACAUAAAAAAUGAAUGCAUAGUGUGAUUGCUGCCGCCGGUGAGCUUUCGCAAUCAUUGAUUGCACUUGUUAAUUAUAUUAAAGGUGAAUUUUUCAGUCUCCUCAUCGGAAUCAAUUGCAGCGUCAUUACAGUCAAAGGCAUAAAUUAACAGUAGAGGGUGCCAAGUCGCUGAGGAGCUCCACAAUUCUAAGUUUAUGGAUUAGAGAGAUAAGUACAUGCCUAUCCUGAAUGUUUCACCUGAAAUGGCUCUUCGUCAAGAAGAGGCUGCAGCUUGGCAUUAUAGGUAGAAUCGUGCCAGUCUGUCACUAGUGAUCUCAUCUCACAGAAUGUCACUGGCCAAGGACCAGGAGGUGAUACCUCUAAGGUCAAAGGAAGCCAUCAAAUUCAUUGGCUCUGUGUUAGAGCCGUGUCACCAGAAUGCUGUGCACUUAUAAGAGACAGACUUUAGUCAGUUCAAUUCAGAGAAGAGAAGAUUGGUAAUGGCGGUAUUUGAAAAACUGUGACUAAGGUUUCUUGGGGGAGGAUGGUGUGUCAAAUUAAGAUCACAGAAAUAUAUUCUGUUGUUUUUAAUUUCAUAUUUUUUAACAAAAGAUGUGGAUUUAUAAUGCUGGUACCAUGUAAUUCAAGAUGAAAUUAUCCUUAUGAUUCAACUAGUGAUAAUUUAGUGUGAUAACUGAUUCAUAAACAUAUUAAGUAAAUUAAUUCAGUUCAAUAAAAUUGUCAUGUAUUAAUAGUGUAUCAGUAGAAUUCAUGAAUCCUGACUUAGUAAUGGGUUCUUUCCACAAAAUAUUUUUAUGAAAUACUGUUAAGUAGCUGUAUAUUUUAGUAAGUUGAUUUAAAAAGUAUCAGGGAAAUUGUUGAAUUGAUUUUACAAUUGUGGUUUGAGAUGUUUGUACAGUGUAACCAUAUGAAUUGUAGAAUUCUUUGUGUAUUAUUAUUGUGAUGGAAUGCCACAUUGAUGUAGUUGUGUAAGGAGUGCAUUGAUUUAAGUGGCAUUUAUGGAUUUAUUUUCACAAUGGAAUAUUAAACGUUCAUAUAUCUGUGAUGUUGGUGUGUUGGGUAGAUUAUUUUUUAUGCUAAUGGUUUAUAGAGUGAGUGAGUAUGUUGUUGUAUAUAGAUGUCUACCUCAUGUAAAUGACAUUUUUCUUCAAAGUCCAAAUAUUUAUUUGGAACUGUGUGGGCAGAGCAUUGUAAAUGUGUGAGAUUUGAAUUAUUAAUUUGGUACUUUGUAGUUGCAAAUAAUUAGUUGUGUACAUGCAAUUCCAAUGUACUGUACUGGUAUUUUUUACACUUGUUCUGUUGAAUAAAUUAUAUUGAAUCUUUA